UACAGAGGGUGCGAGCGUUGUCCGGAAUCACUGGGCGUAAAGGGCGCGUAGGUGGCUUGGUAAGCGUGUGGUGAAAGCCUGGGGCUCAACCCCCAGGUCUGCCGUGCGAACUGCCAAGCUUGAGCAUAGUAGAGGCAGGUGGAAUUUCGGGUGUAGCGGUGGAAUGCGUAGAUAUCCGAAAGAACACCGGUGGCGAAGGCGGCCUGCUGGGCUAUUGCUGACACUGAGGCGCGACAGCGUGGGGGAGCAAACAGG
rnacentral:rRNA from 1 species